GCCCCAGUGGGAAGUCAGCUUGAAAAGGUUACAGAGGCUGCAGUGGGGACCCAAAGUCUGGGGGCCAAAUGGAGAGAUUUAUAUUUUGUGUUGACUGUGACUCCUGUAGCUGCAAGUGUUGGUGAUACAGGCACUUGGAGUUGGGAUGAUGUGCUGUGUAGCUCUCUGAGUACUGCUCUCAGGAUUGUGGCCUCAUUCAGCACACACAAUGGAUACAGUUCCAUUAGUGACCAUCCAUGCAAUAUUUAGUCUAUUUCUGGGUCUGGUUUUCAGCAGAUCUGCAAUAUGGUUUCUGUCAGCCAGAAGGUUCAAGCUGAGAUCACAUGCACCCUGCUUCUCCCUCGGGGUGCUUCUGGCCACCUUCUUUCCUGGGACAAUGUGGUUCUUCCCCUCAUAAUAAGGUGACCCUGGAAAAGGACCAGAGGGAAUAGGUGGCUGUAGUCAUGCCCAGGUGGCCCUCUGAGUGGUAAGUCAGGAGUGGGACACCUCAAUUGCUCACACAACAGAAAACAGUUCCAGCUGGCUACUUUCCCAAGGCAACUCCACAGCAUCCACACCUUCAGCUGAGCACAUGCUACAUAACAGACACUCAGAAUAUUCCUAUGAGCAAGGCUGACCCUGCUAAGGGUGAAUAUGUUGGCUGUAUGGCCCUGCAAUGCCAGAGAGUUUCUGGGCAGCAGAACCUGUUUGAGCUACUGCAAGAGGAAGACUGCACCUUUCUGAAGAAGAAAGGUGAGGUAAGAUGCUCUCACCUGUGUAUGUGUGUGCCCACCUUAUAGCAAACAGCUGUGCUGAGCUGGCAGAGAAGGGGUGAACUGUGGUGCAGGAUCAAGCAGCCAGAGCACUGAAUUCACAGCCAAAGAAAACCCCCCUACAUGCCUAUGUUUAGAAAUGCACCGUGGCAACAAGCUUCUCUGCUUGCAGAACCCAACUGCAGUGGUUCCCAAGUAGCACAUCUGCUGCCAUCAGCCCAGAGCAAGGCGAGGGCAGGAGCCUGACUUCCAUCUCUCCUUCCCAUCAGGAGCUGCUUGGGGAAGGGUACGAGAGUGCGGCAAGCGUGGAGUGAUGUUUUCCCAGAGCAGCCUUUUAGCCUCAAGCCAUCUGAAGUUCACAGGUUUCCUGAACCGAAGACGUAAUCUCAGCAGCAAGGAAAUCAUUUCAAGCGUUUCCAGGACUUUGAAAGAAGCAGGAGUUCACUGAGAGGGGAAAACUGCCUGCAGGGCGAGCUUUGUGCGUUUCAUCCACCCGCGGAAUACGUUUCCAGGAGGAAAAACUGCAGCAGGUGCCUGGGAGAAGGGGGGUGAGGCAGACAGCCGCUCUGAGCAUCCCGACAUCCCGGAACCCGGGCGCCGCAGCGCUCCCGCAUGCCGACAUCCCGGGAGCCGCCGCCAGAGGGCGCUCGUAGCCCACCGCGGCACGGCCGGCGCUGCGCAGCCCGGCAGUGGGGGUGCGCGCACAGCCGCCCCGAUGCGUCACCUCCCCUUACGCGUCGUGGGUAUUUAAAGGGCUGACAGCUCUCGGAAGGGUGAGCUGGCCGCGUUCGUGGCCUCAAUCCUCGGCUGCUGUGAGCUGGCACCGCAAAGGGGCACAGAGUGCAGCCUGGGGUGUUAUCAGCGCUGCGGGGCUGAGCGCUGCGUGUGGCUGGGGGCUCCUUUUCGGGAGUUCCCGGCUAGCCCAGCACCCAAAGGCCGGAACCUCUGGGUUCCUGUGAGGUAAAAGCAGGCUGAGAGAGGCAGGUUCUCCUUCAGAUAUCCGGGACUGGGGCCUGCACUGAGCUGCCGUGCCCAGGGGUGUGCUGUGUCCCCAUCUGCACGGCCAGCACUGACACCGCCGGGGCUGCACCCACCUCACGCACUGCUCCCAUCAGGCUGAUCUUUCAUUUCAUUGUUCACAUCAUGCCCCAAACCUCGGAAACAAUUGGGAAGAGGAAUCUGGUUCACAUUGGUCUGUCUUCCCCUUCAUUGCUUCUGCUGGGUGCCACCCUGGCUCAGGUGGCCUCAGAGGUAAAUGCCACAGUGCACCCAACAGCCAGCAGUGCACCUCCCAGGACUGCCUGCAAUGCAUUUGCCAGCAUCAAAGACUUCUAAGAAGUACGUUAAAAUAUAACAUUUUCUUACUUUUUUUUUUUUGUUCGCUAAUGACACUGAUUGGUUAUCCCAGUGGUGCAGAUCCCACCGGGGCAGGAGGUGUUCUGAUUAUUCCCUUUGUUUACAGUAUUAGACUUCGACAGUUGUUGAUCUCGUUGUUCUUAUUUGCAGCAUGUUUGCCUCACCAGGACAGUAAUUGUAUCAGGCAAGUUGGAGACCAAUCUGCAGAGCUGAACGCUCCGAACUGCAAGAGAAAGGCUCCAAUUUCUCAAGCAGCGGGCGCAUUACUCCUCCACUUGAGUUAUUAAAUUCUAAUUAUAGCCUGUUGAUCCAGUUACGCUGUUGUUUGUAAAUCUAAAUACAGUUCCCCAAAGCCUGUUUCUUAACCUGUUGAUGCUUGGUUAAAAAAGCAAGCAAACAAACAAACAACGCACCCGUUUGCUUAAUGGAGCAGGUGGAGGGGAGCUGCUCGUGGUGAGGCUCUCCUCUCCUCUGCUCCUUUGGAUACGUUUGUGAAUGAGUACAUAUCAGUGUGGGUGAUACGAACAACGGGGCAGGUCACUGUGUGCUCACAGAGCUGGGGCUUUCCCUUGAGUAAGGCUGGUGGGGGCUGAUGGGCUUUGUGGAAGGGGAAAAGCAUUGGUUUUGUUUUCUCUGCUGUGCAGGCAGGUACCUGAACUUCUGGGAAUGGCACUUAGCGGUUCCCCUUUGCGCUGCUGAAUCCCAUAGUGUCUGUUCUUCUCUUGUGAUGUUUAUGGGUUUGGGGCUCCUACGAAUGAGUUCUGGCUCAUCACAUGAUGGCAUAAGGGGCUCCAGAGGGCACAGUGUGCAUCCUGUAUGGUUGCUCUGCUCCAGAUGAGCCCAGUUCCUUUAAAUUGAGUGUCAAUCAGGCACUCAUCUGUUGGCAUAGUGAGUCC
ensembl:lncRNA